AUAGUGACAAUAAUCCUCAAAUCCUGGAAAUUUUGUAUCUUGUCUGAGUCUCCUCUACUUAUCUAAAUUUCCAAUAUAGAUUUUGAUCUCAGUGUUCUUUACUUCCGAAUGAAUCAAGCCUCCCCAAGUAGUAUUCAAAUUUACGACAUAUUAGUUAACAGUCGACUGCUCUACCACUGAGCUACUGAAGAAGAACAAGUGAAGAGAGAGAGAGAGAGAGAGAGAGAGAGAGAGAGAGAGAGAGAGAGAGAGUCCAUGAUCUGCUUAGAGGAUUGCAAUCUUGGAGGUUAUGAUUUUUGUUUGAAUUGCAUACUUUGAAAUAUCUGAAUUGACUCAUUCAGUAGUUUCCUUGUUAAAUGUUAGUUUACUGUUGAAGUUCAUAACUUUUGAAGGUGGGUGUUUAUUCUGUGGAGCCUAAUGUAAAGUUCAAAGUAUAGAAGGUUGUUGUCAUAGGCUGCGCAACUCAGAAAUCUGUGCAGAAUUAUAUGGUUUGAGUAGUAGUUCUGGAGUUUUUGCUGUAGAUUGAUAAAUGGAAGCAACGUCCUUGCGCCCUUCGAACUAUCCUUUCUAUAACUUGGGAUUUGUAAAUACACAUAGAACCCUUUAUAUGACGAUGUUGAAUCCAGGUCAAGCCAACACUCCAUCCCCAGUUCUCUUGCACACAGAUGAAACUGGCCCGUUUUCAGAGUUUAAGAAGGGUUCUGGUUCAAGUACAGCUUUAAGAAACACUGCUCCCAGAGAAUCAUUUCCGGGUCUACCAAACACAGUUGGCAUAAUUGGAGGGCUAUCUGUCGAUUCUAGUGUUAAAUUUCUGAGAAAACUUGUCAAUUGGAGUUCAAGAGAUGGAGAAAGUUGCCCUCCUUUUGUUCUUUGUUCUGACCAUGUUUCAAAUAAAGAGCUUUUAUCAAUUGAGAGAAGUUCUUUUCCUUCUGUCAGCAGUAAAAGUGAUGGUCCUGAAUUCGAUCCUACUCCAAUUGUGGAGAAUUUGCUGAGUAAGAGGAUUUUUCUUGAAAAAUCGGGAGCUCGUUGCAUUGUAAUGCCUUGUCACAUAUCACAUUCUUGGCAUGAUGAAAUUUCUAAGGGAUGUUCUGUUCCUUUUCUUCAUAUUGGUGAGUGUGUUGUCAAGGAGCUCAAGGAAGCAAAGUUGAAGCCGCUUGAAGCCGGAAGUCCUUUGCGGAUUGGAGUGCUUGCAAGCCAUGCAACUUUGACAGCAGGAUUCUAUCAGGAGAAACUGCAGAGAGAGGGAUUUGAGGUUGUUCUGCCGGAUAAAGUGACCAUGGAAUACUCUGUAAUCCCUGCUAUUGAAGCCUUAAACAGAAAGGACAUAGAGGGGGCACAAAAUCUCUUGAGGAUCGCACUCCAGGUUCUUCUGGCGAGGGUUGUGAAUUCUGUUAUUCUUGCGUCCGAUGAUAUGUUAGGUCUUCUUCACCUGGAUCCUCUUCUUAAGAAAUGCAUUGAUCCUAUGGAUGCCUUGGCUAGGUCAACCACAAGCUGGGCUCAGUCUACUAAAAAAGUCAUUUUGCGAAUUGAAAGUGCCUCAUACGUUUGAAUUUUUUGGCAUCGCUGUAAAAUUAAAAACUACAGAAAUUAGUCUAGCAUCUGUUCCAUCUUUAACACUUCUACAGUUCUACUUUGAGUCAACAUAUCCUUAAUUCUAUUUUCAAGUGGAGGGACACUUGAAUAAAAACUUCUCUCCACUUAUAUUAUGACAUGUGGUGUACUGGGUAAAAUCUCUCCACCCCAGCCCAACCUACCCCAUCCCACAAGGUCACAGCCGACCCCAAAGUUCAAGGCUGGCUCUAUCCCUUGAACUUACAGCAGUGCUAACAGAAUGAAACUACGAGCACGAAAUGCAUAAAAAAAAAAAAAAAAAAAAAAAUCCAAAUGGAAGAAAGAGAGAAUAAAAGGCAAAUUCAAAAUGGUCCCCAACCAUCCCUCCUCAGCCCUCAGAUAGUGGGUCUGAAACAAGGAAGAAAAACAUUUCGAGCAACUUCGUCUUCCCAAACUAAGCCAUUCCACCUCUUUGUGUCUCCUUCGAUGAUGAAAUUGCUUGUUUGAAAAUUUGAAGGGUAUCCAGAUGUUCCAUAUGCGCCAGAGAUGGUUCAAAGAAGAAAAAACUGAAGAAGAAAAAGGAUCCAAAUGCACC